AUGAUUCUUGGUACCACAAUUCUUGAUGAACAUGUUGGUAAACAUGAUAGUGCUCAUAAUAAGGCUAGACAACACUAUGAGGCUUUCAAAAAUCAGUGGCAAAAUCUGCCACAUGUGUUUGAUCGAGGUACUCAGAAGGACGAAGAAGAAUACAAAGCUCGUCUCUUGAUUAUAUUGCGUGUUAUCAAAUUUUUGCUGCUACAAGGUCUAGCUUUUCGUGGACAUGAUGAGUCUACUAGCUCAAAGAAUAAGGGUAACUUUAAGGAAUUGUUGGGCUGGCUCAUAGAGAAAGACCGAGAGGCAUGCAAAUUGAUUGGGGAUGCAGGAGCGAACCAUAAGCUAAUUUCACCUGAGAUACAAUUGGACUUGUGCAAGGCGUGUGCAAAAGAGACCUCCAAAGCCAUUAUUGAUGAAAUUGGAGAUAGAUAA
rnacentral:rRNA from 1 species